rnacentral:misc_RNA from 1 species
GUUAGGAGGUAGUUGAACAUAGAAUUUAAUGGCGUAACAUGGACAGGAGACAAUAAUAUAAAUGUAAUGACAGAUACAACAGCCAACCAGAAUGCAUCAUUGAUAAAGGCCAGAGGUUUAUCUUCAACUGGUAUGUGAUAUAUCAGACAACAGAAUGAGCUAACUCGACUUCCUAUCAAAUAAUCUAAUCUAAAAUGCCUUGCUAAAUAUGGCUUUCCUGGAAUGAUGCAGAA